GACGAACCGUCCAAACGUUAUUCGGAAUCACUGGGCUUAAAGGGUGCGUAGGCUGUCCGGUAAGUUGGGUGUGAAAGCCCUCGGCUCAACCGAGGAAUUGCGCCCAAAACUGUCGGGCUGGAGGGAGAUAGAGGUGUGCGGAACUAAGGGUGGAGCGGUGAAAUGCGUUGAUAUCCUUAGGAAUACCAGUAGCGAAAGCGGCACACUAGGUCUCUUCUGACGCUGAGGCACGAAAGCCAGGGGAGCGAACGGG
rnacentral:rRNA from 1 species